rnacentral:rRNA from 1 species
UACGUAGGCAGCAAGCGUUGUUCGGAGUUACUGGGCGUAAAGGGUGUGUAGGCGGUUGUUUAAGUUUGGUGUGAAAUCUCCCGGCUCAACUGGGAGGGUGCGCCGAAUACUGAAUGACUCGAGUACGGGAGAGGAAAGUGGAAUUCCUGGUGUAGCGGUGAAAUGCGUAGAUAUCAGGAGGAACACCGGUGGUGUAGACGGCUUUCUGGACCGUAACUGACGCUGAGACACGAAAGCGUGGGUAGCAAACAGG